CAAAAAACGAAAAAACAUAUCGCAUCCAAACAGCACCUAAUUAAACAGAGGUUACAGAGCCUCCACCUCGAGAGCAAAACCGAAAGUAAGCUUCGCUUCUAUGGCAAUACGCUGUCGCUCACUCAUUUCCUGUUUCAGACGUUGUAAACCUGAAUUAGAGGAGAGAAAACUGUCGAUGUUCACGCAAAUCAAUAAUUUCGCUGAAUCGUCCCUGCAAUACAGCAAUAGCAAUGGCAAUCUCAAAAGCGAAAUUAUGCGAAUGAAAUCGCCUGAGGCAAGCGCAACCUCUAUCCUUCAGAAAUGGGUCGAUAAUGGCCGCGAGGUUACAAUCUCUCAGCUCAGAUACAUCUCUAGACUACUGGUGCAAUCUAGGCGCUACAAGCAUGCACUUGAGAUAGGCACAUGGAUGGAAGCUCAAAAAGGUUUUCGCAUGUCAGCAGCAGAUCGUGCCGUAAGACUGGAAUUAAUCAUGGAAGUGCGAGGUUUAAAGGAGGCAGAAGAAUAUUUCAAACUUAUACCUGAUUCUGCUUCAAAAAAAGCUGCCUCUCUUCCUCUUCUUCAUGGCUAUGUAAAAGAGAGAGACAUAGUGAAAGCUGAGGCUUUGAUGAUGAAUCUGAAUGGCUUGGGGUUGAUUGUGAGCCCUCAUCCAUUUAAUGAGAUGAUGAAACUUUAUAUGGCCACGUCAAAUUAUGAGAAAGUACCCUUAGUUAUCCUGGAAAUGAAGAACAAUAAAAUACCAUUAAAUAUUCUCUCCUACAAUCUUUGGAUGAGUUCAUGUGGUGAGGCAUCUGAUGUCACUAAAGCAGAGAUGGUAUACAAACAAAUGGUGAAUGAUGAAAACGUUGAAGUUGGAUGGAGCACUCUGUCCACUUUGGCCAAUAUUUAUGUAAAGGUAGGCCUUGUUGAUAAAGCUCUUUCAUCCCUUAAAAAUGCAGAGAGAAAGCUCUCUACCAGUAAUCGCCUUGGUUACUUCUUCCUUAUUACACUAUAUUCCUCAUUGAAGAAUAAUGAGGGAGUUUGGAGGCUUUGGGAAGCCAGUAAAGCCGUUGGUGGAAGAAUUACAUGUUCCAACUACAUGUGUAUACUGUCAUGCUUGGUUAAGGUAGGUGAAUUUAUAAAAGCUGAAAAAGUGUUUAUGGAAUGGGAGUCCAAUUGUUGGAAAUACGACAUUAGAGUCUCCAAUGUCCUUCUUGGUGCAUAUGUGCGGAAUGGAAUGAUAAACAAAGCUGAGUCAUUACAUCUUCACACAUUGGAAAGAGGUGGAUGCCCAAAUUAUAAGACAUGGGAGAUUCUAAUGGAGGGAUGGGUGAAAAGCCAAAAGAUGGAUAAGGCCAUUAUUGCCAUGAAGGAAGCAUUUUCUAUGUUGAAAUAUUGUGAUUGGAGACCAUCACAUGGUAUUUUAAUGGCCAUCGCAGAGUACUUGGAGAAGAACAGGAAUUUAGGAGAUGCAAACUGCUGUAUUCAGGUUAUCCAUCAUUUUGGUGUUGCAAGUUUACCACUGUAUAAAAUCCUCCUUAGAAUGCACCUGCAUGCACGCAGAGCACCUUUUCACAUCCUUAAAAUGAUGGAGAAGGACAAAAUUGAGAUGGAUGAUGAGACUUCUGUCCUUGUUCAAGCUUUCAGUUCGCAUGUCUGAUAUAUCAGCGCAUUGAUGUUUAUAGUGGAUGUCUGCAGACACUGGUGGAUAACAACUGACACCUUGUAUAAUACUCAUCAUGAAACUCUACAAACAAUGGCUGGUAUCCCAUGGUAUUUGCAGCCACAAAUGGUGCUAACCAGGUCAAUAUAACUUUCUUCCCUUAAUGUGGCAUUCGGGCGAUGGGUGUUAAAGAGGAAGUUUUUGAUAUUUGCUAACAAUUUAUGGCAAGGUAGUGCUCUUUUUUAAAUUAUGAUUUUCAACCAAAUUUUCAAACCAAUCACCAACCUAAGUAAUGGUCUCCGGUUCAUGACUUCCUUUACAGAUGUCAAUACAGCCACAGGCAAUGUACAGAACCAGAAGGCUUAUUGUUUCACCUCCAAAGGAUUGUCUUCCUUUUAGACCCCUUGCUUCAGCUUCAUUUAUAACUUUCUCUCUUCUUACCCCCUUCCGCUGUAAAUGCACGCAUGCUUGCCUUCAUGGAUUGGAAUAGCAUCUGGGCCACUUAAUUGUUUAGACGGAAGGAAGAGUUAGAUUUUAUGCAAACUUAGCCAGCUUAUUCCGUCCAUUAUGGAAUUCCCAUAUGGAUCUCAUGCAAGGAGCAAAUAGUCCUGCAUCACAUUAAUAAAUCUUGUUUGGGAGAUUGUUCUCAAUAUAUUUAUUUCCCUUUCCUUUUCCAGUUAAUUCAUGAGCAUUUUAUUAUUCUGUUUCUCAAAGUUGUUUACUUGGUUUCAUAGCUUCUCAUUUGAGUUUGCUCACUUGUUAACAGGCACAUUAGAUUUAUCAGCAGGCUCAAUGACGGACUAGCCAUCUGCUUGUAUUUUUGGAACAAAUUAACAUUUAUAAAGAAGUAACAGAGUCAUCAAUACAGCAGAUUAUUAAUAUAAUAGAGCCAACAAGCAAUCAUGCACAUAAGAGAGACAGUCACCAUUAAUAUGUUACAAUGAGGAGUGAUGCUAAGGGCUAAAGGUUGAUGAUGAAGCCUUCCACAAAUUGUACAACCCUUUUAGGUGUUCUUUCAAUUUAUUCCAGGGAGAGAUAAAUUCCUUGAUAGCAGGAGCUGGAAGGAAAUUGUCAAACCAAGUGUCGAGCAGAGGCAUGGUUUCUGCAUCAAUCACAUUUACACUCGCAAUUUCCUCAACUAUUUGAAUCCAUCCUGUAGCAAUCUCCAAAUAGCCUAUUCUUUCACCUUCAAAGAAUCUCUUCCCCUCCAAAAUGCUUUCCAGAGUCUUCAGCUUCUCUCUUAACUUCUUUCACUACCUCAUCCUUCUCCUCCCCUUCUGUGACAAAUGUAUGCAUGAUCACAGCCAUGCACUGAAAUAGAAGAUGAGCAUAUCAAUGAAUUUUAAGAAGAAAAGAUUUUAAUCUUGUGUUCUACUAUAGCAGUAAAUGUGAACUUCCAAGAAAAAUGCAUGUCUGAUAGUGUGAUUGCUAUUUGCUAGUGAAUUUUCUUAUUUUGGUCUUUCUUAACCAGUUCAUCUGAAAACUUUGGUUUGAAACAUUAUAUAACUUCAGUUCUCUUCUGCAAA